CCCUUAGAUGUUCUGGGCCGCACGCGCGCUACACAGAUGCAUUCAACGAGUUUCUUCCUGGUCCGAGAGGAAUGGGUAACCUUUUGAAAGUGCAUCGUGAUAGGGAUAGACUAUUGCAAUUAUUGGUCUUCAACGAGGAAUUCCUAGUAGACGUAGUUCAUCAGACUGCAUCGAUUACGUCCCUGCCCUUUGUACACACCGCCCGUCGCUCCUACCGAUUGAAUGCUCAGGUGAGCCAUUCGGACUUUCAUCAUGCUGGUUUCCAGUUUUGAUGAAGGAAAGUCUUGCGAACCUUAUCAUUUAGAGGAAGGAGAAGUCGUAACA
rnacentral:rRNA from 1 species